ACAUACUAUCGUCCACUUGUACCGAAAUGGUACCACAUAUUUAAAAAUUGCAAGUAAAUAACAUAGAAGCGAGUAACGUUACAAUCCUGCGUGAACGCAGCGAUUGCGUCAUCCCCUCCUUCCCCGCGCGGGCUCGGCUCGAUGCCCGUCGGAUUUCGAACGACGAGCAGUGUGUCGCUCGCUAUUAGAGUGGACGCACGUUCCGAAUUAUAAAAAUUAAAACCCCGAAUUAUAAAAAUUAAAACCUUUAAAGUGAACUCAAAUUGUUCCUUAGUAAGUGCAGUGCGAUUCCCCGCAUUAGGGUAAGUUUUGAAUGGCACAUUAAAAUACUUUAUGCAACGUAAUAUCUCAAUGUCACCUUCAUCACGGCUUCUUUGUUCAUUACUUCUUUGUGUGUGUAUUUUAUUUUUCUCUUACUUUUAGCUUACUUACAUUAUACUAGAAGAAUUGUAUCUUUUUUUAUCAUAAUAUUAGUGCAAUAACCAUGAACAUUCGGUAAAAUUAAUUAUUAGUCACAUAUUCUAGAAUGUUCAUACAACUUUUUCUUUGCUGACCCGCAAUUCGAAUAAAUCUUCAAUUUAUUCGAAUCAUUUAGCCUUCAGCUUAUUAUAUACUAUUUUGUUUUAAAUAUUACUUCGUUCUGGUUGUUACCACCACACCGGCAUUUCUUCUAUGUGUAAGUACAAACCUGUUUCGCACAUCCGCCGGUCAGUGGUCACCAGGACGAAUUGAUAUAGCUACCGCUAAUUAGGUACUGUAUCGAUUCCAGGGUUCGUCGCCUUCGACGCCUCCGUCGUCGUCGUCUUCGUCGUCGUCGCCGUUGCUCUUAUUCUUCGAGGCACGGAUUAUACAUCAGGAUAAUCAACGAAUCGAAUCAUCUACGUGUACACGUAUCUACGCAUCCGACGUGCCCUGAACCAAAUCACGUCGGGUUCUCCGCGUCCUGGUGCCACCUUACAUCUCGGCAUCACAACAGGGGAGUACUUCAUACAGCAACAUCAAAGAUUAGCAGAUAAAAUACGGACUACCACGACCCUACAAAUUUCGUGUGCCUACCGCGAGCUAGUAUUUUAGAUUAAAUUAUUGAAUACAAAUUAUAUUUUUAUCUCACCGGAUUUUAUUUAAUAAUAUCUCCGCCCAGCUCUUACCCGGUCUCGGUGCACUGGCGCCCUUGUCGUGGUUUAUCUGCUUUUCUUUUUGUUGCCUAGUAGUAGAUUUGUACGGUGCAUGGUUUUUUUUUUUGUAAAACGCUUGAUUUUUUUUGGUUUGCAGUAACUGAGGUGAACGUAGUGUCCUUUUAUUUGUAAUCGUUUUCGAUUUUAACGAAUUAGUGCAUAUUUUUUUCUCAAAAAAAAAUAUUAAAUUUAUUAUUAUUAAUUUUUGUAUAUUUGACUGGAGGUACAGUCAACAAAAAAAAACUUAAUACCAUAUUUUCUUAUUGUUAAAAUUUAUUAAAUGUUAUAAGUACAUUUGCGUACUUUAGCACUAGUUUACUAAAACUAAAGGUGCGUUCACACCAGUUGCAAUUUAUUUUCUGUUUUUUUUUUUUUUGUUUUUCAUUUUUUAUUUUUUUGUUGCAAAUCAUUAUUUUAUUUCAUCCAUUCAUAUUAUCAAACCAAAGCGUUCUGUUAAAUUGAUUGUAACAGAACGAAGAUUUCGUUUUUAUCAUUUAAUUUUUUUUUUGUGCCAUUCCAUACAUACCCUAUCAUAUUAAUUUUUGUUUGGUUUAUUUAAUUGUUCCGGUUUGAUUUUUUUAUAAUUUUUUUUUUUUCAACCUAUUAGUUUUUAUUUUCUCUUAUAUUAUUUGUUGAGUUACUCAUAAUGUCGUAUCCCAUAAAAUUUUUUUCACUGCAAAAAUCCGAAUUGGAAUAUGAGGUAGCAGUAAGAGGUGAAGUUCCCGCCAAUACAGUGUCUGACCUCAGAAAGCAAAUAAAUAAACUAGGUCAGUUAUAUCCUUCGGAGGACAUACUGUGCACCCAUCUCGAGCCCCAGGAGGAUUUAGACAAUUGUGUUGAAUUAUUAGAAAAAAUAAAUUUAUCAAUUACGACAGAGGUCACAGAUAAGAAUGUAUUAGGUAGGCACGAAAAUCUUUUGAAUCACUUAUAUCAUAGACUUAACAGAAUAGAACCUGGCAAACAACAGCUAGAUACUAAAACUCAAUGCAAUUCCUUAUUUAAAGAAUUAUAUGAGCAAAUUAUAAACUUAAAAAAUAAAAGUAUUGACCCGUUAUCAAUAACUACUUCGAACACGGAUCCACAGUCUUCUUCAGCUCCACUAAAUAUUACUGUCACUUGUGAAGGCAAUAAUAGGUUCCCUACUGAAAUAGGUAAAUUAAAAUAUGACGGAAAAUCAUGCGUCCGUUCAUUCAUUGAGCGAGUCAAUGAAUUUAGUUUAGCUCGUAAUAUAUCAGGCACUAAAAUUUUAGCCUAUGGUACUGAUAUUUUUACUGGUGAUGCCAUCCAUUGGUAUCGCAGCGUCAGAGACCAGGUUUCAACUUGGGAAGAGCUAGCCGUUCUUUUAAAGCAGGAUUUUGACAGAACAGACUAUGACUACCGCUUAUUAUCAGAGAUUCGUGCUAGAACUCAGGGAAAGAGCGAAAAUAUAACUAUAUAUUUAUCAAUUUUAUCAGGCAUGUUUGCUCGUCUGUCAAAAGCCCUGCCGGAGGAAGACCAGCUCGAGAUAGUGUUGCACAAUAUUCGGCCAUGUUACGCAAGUACUUUAGCAUCCGCUACGAAUAUCGAAUCAAUAGAACACUUACGAACAUUGUGUAAGAAUUAUGAAAAUGUUCAGUCUCGAUUAUCCCAGUUUCAUGAACCUAUCGCCGCCACUUCAGAUACUUUAGCACCUGAGUUUGCAUAUAAACAAGACGCAAAUAUUAGUAAUAAAAAUAAUUAUAAUUCGAAUUUUUACAAAAAGUUAACUCAUCCUAGUAAUAAUAAUAAUCAAACUAAUUAUGUUAAGCCUACCACUAAUAAUAUCGAUAUUAACAAAAAAUAUUUACAUUCUAUUAAUAAAACUAACACUACUAACCCUACUAAAAAUGUUUUCUGUCCCAGAUGUCGAAAUAAUACACACAGCUUUCAUAACUGUAAAAGCACCGAGGUCAUUUGUUUCAAGUGUGGAUUAAAAAACUUUAAAAAACCAGAAUGUCCCACUUGCAAUCCAAAAAACUAGAAAGGCAGAAUUGUAUGAUUAAAGGUCACCUAGAUAAACAGGAAUGGAAUGAUUGGUUAAAAACUAUUAAAAAUUUCUUCGCCUGUUACAAAAUUUCUACAAUUCUGCCAAAUAAGCCUCUAGGUGAUAUUCGACCUUACGUCAAUGUUAAAAUUAAUGGCAUCGAAGCGUCAGGACUUUUAGACUCUGGUGCAACAGUCACAAUUAUUGGAAACGGUUCUCACGAUACAUUGAUACUCAGUGGUCUUAAACUUGUUGAGAACGGAACAAAUAUCUCAAUAAUUGCUGCUGGCGGAAACGUUUUUAAAAGCAUAGGAAGUAUUAACUUACCUAUAAGUUUUGAGGGUCAAUUUAAAAUAAUUGAGGCUUUAGUUGUUCCCGAAAUACAAUUGUCACUUAUAUUAGGCAUUGAUUUUUGGAAAUCGUUUAAUUUAUGUCCUAAAUAUUUAAGUACGCUUAGUUUUACUGCAUCACUGGCAGACACUAGUGCUAAGUGUACAUCGGAAAAAUUGCUAAAUUCUUAUAAUAAUUUAAAUAAUACUCAAAGAGCUAUUGCUGACAAUGUCAUCGAGCAAUUUCAUGACAUUUCAUUUACAAAUCGUGGGUUAGGACGAACACAUUUAAUUACGCAUCGCAUCGAUACGGGUGAUUCUCCACCAAUUAGGCAGAGAUAUUACAGGCUUUCUCCCGAAAAGCAAAAGAUCCUUGUUGAGCAGGUGGAUGAGAUGUUAGGAUUAGAUGUGAUCGAGCCCUGCGAGAGCCCUUGGCAGUCGCCAGUUCUUUUAGUAAAUAAAAAAAACGGAGAGCCUCGAUUUUGCCUCGAUAGUAGGAAAUUAAAUUCAGUUACCAAACGCGACGCCUACAACCUUCCAUAUAUAUCGGAAAUUUUAGAUAAUUUGCGAGAUGCGCGGUUUUUAAGUAGCUUAGACUUGUCCAAGGCCUUCUGGCAAAUUCCUAUUGCUGAAGAACACAGAGAUAAGACAGCGUUUUACGUGAAUUCUCGUGGCACGUUUCGAUUUAAAACUACACCAUACGGACUAACCAACGCUCCGGCCACGCAACAACGCUUAGUUGACGCUUUAUUAGGUGAUGUUGACCACCGUAUCUUCGUUUAUUUAGACGAUAUAAUUAUUGUUAGUGAAACUUUUGAUGAUCACGUCUCUCUUUUAAUUCGUGUUUUAGAAAAAUUACGGAAGGCUAACUUAACUAUAAAUUUGAAGAAGUGCGAAUUCUUUCGAAGCCAACUAAAAUAUUUAGGUUAUGUUGUGGAUGCUCACGGAUUACGAACCGAUCCUGAUAAAGUGGAGGCCAUACUUAAUUUCCCAACUCCUACAAAUCGUAAGGAGUUGAAACGUUUUUUAGGAACUGCAACAUGGUAUCGUCGUUUUGUCCCACAGUUUAGUACUAUUGCAGGACCGCUUAAUAAAUUAACUUCUAGUAAAAAAAAUGCACCACCCUUCCUAUGGACAGACGAGGCUGACGUAGCUUUCAAAAAACUUAAAGAGUGCUUAGUUUCCGCUCCAGUUUUGUCAUGUCCCAAUUACGAUUUACCAUUCGAUGUGCAUACAGAUGCAAGUAAUUAUGGAGUUGGCGCCAUGCUUACUCAAACUAUUAAUGGCCAAGAACACCCGGUUGCAUAUAUGAGUCGAACAUUGACGGCAGCAGAAAAGAACUACAGCAUUACUGAACGUGAAACUCUUGCAGUACUGACAGCAUUAGAACAUUGGAGAUGUUACGUAGAGAACGGAAAAACAUUUAACGUUUACACAGACCACAGUGCGUUAAAAUGGUUUCUCUCAAUCAACAAUCCAACGGGUCGUCUUGCACGUUGGGGUCUACGUCUAUCUGCAUUGAAUUUUGAAAUUAAACACCGUCGUGGUGCCGACAAUAUUAUUCCUGACGCCUUGUCUCGGGCUAUCCAUAUCUCAGCAAUUACUACUGCCAAAUCUGUCACAACUACUACAGACGAUUGGUACAAAAAUAUUUAUAAUAAUUGUAUAACUAAUUCACAAAAUUUUCCAAAUUAUAAAAUUAAAAAUGAUUCUCUCUUUCGGUUAACUAAAAAUAAAUGCCACUUAACUGAUGAAUUUUCGUGGAAAGAAGUAGUUCCAUCAGAACUCAGAGAAGCUAUUAUAAGCGAAAAUCAUAAUGAGCCCACUUCUGGUCAUUUAGGUAUUUUUAAAACGUACAAACGCAUUACGCUUCGUUAUUACUGGCCUGGCAUGUUUCGUGACGUUUCAAGUUACGUUAGCUCAUGCCAAACUUGCUUACAAUAUAAGGUGCAAAAUCAUGCCACGCUAGGUGAAAUGGGUCGGCCCAAGCAAUGUUCCCGUCCCUAUCAAAUGAUAUCAAUCGACCUUGUCGGUCCUCUCCCGGUUACCCGAAAACAAAAUUCUUAUAUUCUUGUAAUUACCUGUUGUUUUUCAAAAUUUUGUCAUAUCUUCCCUCUUAAAAAAGCAACUUCUGAAAUUAUAGUUAAAAUUUUAGAAGAACAAAUAUUUUUAGUUCACGGGGUUUGCCAAACUGUCUUCAUGGACAAUGGCCCUCAAUUUAUUAGUAGUGUCACUAACAAUUUUUUCAAAAAAUAUAAUGUCCCCAACGUAUUUUACACACCCAAAUAUACCCCUCAAAUUAACACUGUAGAAAGGUAUAAUAAAACUAUUAUAACAUGUCUCUCUACCUUCGUCGAUAAGGAUCAUCGAACCUGGGAUACAUUUAUACCAGCAGUACAAUUCGCGAUUAACAACUCCAUCAACGAAGCUACUGGUUAUACACCAUCUUUCCUAGUUUUCGGUCGCGAAGUUGUUAUUUGUGGCUCACACUAUCUCGACAAUGACGUUGGAGACGAAAUCGUAUUUAUGCCAAGAGAUUUAUACGCAGAAAAUCGUGGUUGCUUGGGCAGCUUGUUUGAUGAGGUGCAAAAGACAUUAUAUCAUGCCCAUGCAAAAAACAUUCGAAGGUAUAAUUUGCGCAGAAAAGCCCACGAAUUCAAGGUAGGAGACAUAGUGUACAAGAGAACUUAUGUCUUGUCUGACAAAGACAAGUUUUUCAGUAAAAAGUUGGCCCCAAAAUAUAUAAAGUGCCGAGUUCUAGAAAAACGCUCGCCACUUGUAUAUGUCUUAGAAGACAUGUCGGGUAACAGUCUAGGGACUUGGCAUAUUAAAGAUUUAAAAAUAAAUCAUAAUUGAUCCUUAAUAAUUAACAAAUUUUUGAAUUAAAUACUAUUAUUAAAUAUAGCACAUUUCAUUAACUCAGUUAUAAUUAUAUUUUUUAGAAUACAACACAACUCACACCUACAUUAGUUACAUUAACUCGCCCCAUUAAAAUCAUAACACAUUCUUCCAAUAAGUCAACUGCUGCCGCAAUAAGCAGUGACUUUUUAAAUGAAAGAUAGCGACUUGUAACGAAUGCUUAGUUACAAAUCGUUUUAAUGAAAGGUGAUGUAUGAAAGGUUAUUAUGAAAGGUAAUUGUGAAGAAUUGAUACUAGUAUUUAACACGGAUUUUAUUUUUAAAAUAAAACCCUUAUAGGGAGCGGCGGGGUAAUGUACCGAAAUGGUACCACAUAUUUAAAAAUUGCAAGUAAAUAACAUAGAAGCGAGUAACGUUACAAUCCUGCGUGAACGCAGCGAUUGCGUCAUCCCCUCCUUCCCCGCGCGGGCUCGGCUCGAUGCCCGUCGGAUUUCGAACGACGAGCAGUGUGUCGCUCGCUAUUAGAGUGGACGCACGUUCCGAAUUAUAAAAAUUAAAACCCCGAAUUAUAAAAAUUAAAACCUUUAAAGUGAACUCAAAUUGUUCCUUAGUAAGUGCAGUGCGAUUCCCCGCAUUAGGGUAAGUUUUGAAUGGCACAUUAAAAUACUUUAUGCAACGUAAUAUCUCAAUGUCACCUUCAUCACGGCUUCUUUGUUCAUUACUUCUUUGUGUGUGUAUUUUAUUUUUCUCUUACUUUUAGCUUACUUACAUUAUACUAGAAGAAUUGUAUCUUUUUUUAUCAUAAUAUUAGUGCAAUAACCAUGAACAUUCGGUAAAAUUAAUUAUUAGUCACAUAUUCUAGAAUGUUCAUACAACUUUUUCUUUGCUGACCCGCAAUUCGAAUAAAUCUUCAAUUUAUUCGAAUCAUUUAGCCUUCAGCUUAUUAUAUACUAUUUUGUUUUAAAUAUUACUUCGUUCUGGUUGUUACCACCACACCGGCAUUUCUUCUAUGUGUAAGUACAAACCUGUUUCGCACAUCCGCCGGUCAGUGGUCACCAGGACGAAUUGAUAUAGCUACCGCUAAUUAGGUACUGUAUCGAUUCCAGGGUUCGUCGCCUUCGACGCCUCCGUCGUCGUCGUCUUCGUCGUCGUCGCCGUUGCUCUUAUUCUUCGAGGCACGGAUUAUACAUCAGGAUAAUCAACGAAUCGAAUCAUCUACGUGUACACGUAUCUACGCAUCCGACGUGCCCUGAACCAAAUCCCGUCGGGUUCUCCGCGUCCUGGUGCCACCUUACAUCUCGGCAUCACAACAGGGGAGUACUUCAUACAGCAACAUCAAAGAUUAGCAGAUAAAAUACGGACUACCACGACCCUACAAAUUUCGUGUGCCUACCGCGAGCUAGUAUUUUAGAUUAAAUUAUUGAAUACAAAUUAUAUUUUUAUCUCACCGGAUUUUAUUUAAUAAUAUCUCCGCCCAGCUCUUACCCGGUCUCGGUGCACACUAUUGGUAGAGCCGUCUCGUUGCCCGACGUAGUUGACGCCAUGAUAGGCAGUGAAACGUGCUGGUCAGUGAUGCUGUCGUUUUGUGAGGCUGUCAUGGGUCUGAAAGAGGCUGAAGAGAGAGCGAGGGAAGAAGCUGCCGAUGCUCCCCUUAUACGCAGGCGGAGGCAGGGUAGAAGGAGGCGUCGAUAUGCGCACCUACUCCCACCUUAAUGUAGGGCGAACAGGAUAGGCGGCGACACAUAGAGACAAACGUCGGGACAUCACAGUAGAAUGUGCUAAAUGAUCCUGUGAUGUCACCAAAGGACGAAGCCGGAUCCGCUGGGUUUUAGUGGGUAUUCCGAAGUUUCGGCGAGUCCCACAUACCCUCUGGAGUAGGGAUGCGUAAAUGCAUUUCCCAGCGAAAAAAAAAAAAAAAAAAAAAAAAAAACUCGUGGACUUCAAUUUUGGUUUGUGGAUUUUAUCAAUUUAUAUACAUAUACAGGGUGGUCGGAAGUAUUUCCCAUAACUUCAAGAUGUUGACAAGUCCACUUAUAGGAGCCGAACUGCAUAACUAAUAUCGUUUUAACUAAAAAAUAAAAACUCAUGUUUUCAUACUUUUUUUUUAUUGUCUACAAGUUAGCACUUGACUACAAUCUCACCUGAUGGUAAGUGAUGAUGCAGUCUAAGAUGGAAGCGGGCUAACUUGUUAGGAGGAGGAUGAAAAUCUCACACUCCUUUCGGUUUCUACACGACAUCGUACUGGAACGCUAAAUCGCUUGGCGGUACGUCAUUGUCGGUAGGGUGGUAACUAGCCACGGCCGAAGCCUCCCACCAGCCAAAGUAACACCAUACAAAGUAAUUCAAACAAUUUCGACUAUCCGUGUAACACACGCCUUUAUCUAUCCUUGCAUUACUUAGUGUAUAAAAUUAAAAUACAGCCCCUGUAGCUAAGUGGCACGUCGAUUCUCUUUCUACGAUCGCUAACGCUUCGAAAACUAGAAAAAUGUAUGGAAAUGACAUUUGCUCGACAGGUCACGUGAUCAAGAUCUGUCAUUUCCAUACAUUUUUCUAGUUUUCGAAGCGUUUGAGAUCGUAUCGGACAGAUAUCAGAAAAGAAAAAAAUAUUUUAUUUGGACACACACAUAAUACACAAAAGACAACAAAUACUUAAAACAAAAGAAAGUAAUUUUAAAAAUACAGUGAACUAAUAAUUUAAAGAUAAUAAUAAUAAUAAUAAAACACUUUAUUACACCAAAAACAAAAUAACAAAAUUUUACAAAAACAAACCAAGUAAAAUACAAACAAUGGUGUAACGGCGGCCUUAUCUCUAAAGUGAUAUCUUCCAGGCAACCGUUAUUAUAAGGAAUUCACGUUUACAAAGAGCAGUGGUUGGUGCGCAAAUAUCGACUUAAAAUACUGUACAAUAAACAAUAAAUGAAAUAUACUUACAUAAACUAAGAAAAUUAAAAUACAUAAAUACCAAUAUUAACAUUAAUAAUAUAUAUGUAUAUAUAUAUACAAUAAAAUAAACUUACUUAAAUUGAUAUUACAUACCUAAAUAUAUUACUGUGAUAAAAAGUAGUCCUUAAGAUUAUUUAAAGAUAUUAAACUAAUAAAAUAAAAUCAAAUCCAAAAAAAAAAAAUUAGGUGUGUGGUACCAAAAUGGUCACCACUCAGCAUGUGCUAGUGAUGGAUAGCACAUAUCACUUAAAGGUUAAGCACGGAACAAUAUACCUACCGGGUGUUGAUGACAAGGAUAUCGUAAAAUACGGCAUAAAUAGCUCCAUAAUAAAUUGCAAAUCACUGCAUAUAAUAUGAAUAGUAAUAUCUACUGCUGUUGCAAUUGGCCAGUGCCGGGUUAAGGUUACUCGAUGCCCGCGUUGUCAGACGUCCCGAUUUUGGCCCAAUUGUCAAUAUCGGGACGUUCCGAUUUUUAUAUUAGAAUUAAAGGUCACGCGGUCGGGCUCCGUUCCCCUUUUUGGGAAUAACUGAAUCAUGUGGUUUCUGUUUAUUUUACGAUAGGAUAUCUGAUACAUGAAUAUCAUCAUUAUCAACCCAUAUUCGACUCACUGCUGAGCUCGAGUCUCCUCUCAGAAUGAGAGGGGUUAGGCAAGGUUUCCUUACGAUGCUUUUUUUGGCUUAAGCCACGUUUUACAUAUUAAUGCAAUGUGAAUGUCAUGUUCAUCAUCAUCAAUCAUAUAAAAAUUGUGAUAAAAUAUGUUGAUAACAUAGCAAGCUCUGAGCAUUCCACUGAACUAUGUUAAUAUAAUUCAUUAUUUUUAGGAAAAUGCUUUUUUACUGAAUGUUGUCGGACUUAUUGUAAUUGCUUAUUUGGGUCAUUCUCUACGGAUGGAAAUAAUUUUUAAUUUUUUAUAGAACGCCUUUAUUUUUAUUUUUUCUUAAUUUUUUUCAAAGGAUUAUAAAAAAGUAUAUAUAUAUGCAUAAACCGCAAUGUGAUUGUCUCCACAAUUGCUACAUUUAGCAUUGGUCUUAUCUAUAGUACAGUCCUUGAAAUUGUGAUUCUCUGUGUAAAUACUGCAUUUUACUGCAUUUUUACAAUACUUUGCAAGUCUUAGGCAUUUAAGGCAUUGCUUAAUAGGAGAUAUAUAACCUUAUGUCUACAAGAGUCCAAAUGAAUUUAAUCUGGUAGUUGGGUGGCCGGUUCUUUAUUUUCCGCCUUUAUUUAUUUUUUGUUAAUUUUAUUCCUUUUUAUUGGACACUGCAUAGACCACUAUGUGGUUGCCUCUACAAUAGCUUCAUUUAGCAUUGGUCUUAUCUAUAGUACAGUCCUUGAAAUUUUGAUUCUCUGUGUAAAUACUGCAUUUUUACAAUUCUUUGCAAUGUGGUCAAGUCUUAGGCAUUUAAGGCAUUGUUAACAGGAGGUAUAUAAGGACUUACCUCGUGUCUUCAAGAAUCCAAUUGAAUUUAAUCUGGUAGUUGGGUGCCCGGUUCUUCUGAUGACUUAAUUCUUGACAUUAUUCUUCGUACUUCAAUUAUGUUGCAUGUACUAGCUGGUAAAUUAAAUAUUUGCUUAUAAGAAAGUGUUAGAGGAACUCCCCUUAAUUACACCUGUGACCUCGGUAUGGCUGGGAUACUAGGUUUCAAAUUCAAAUGUUUCUGAAAAUUUUGAAUAAAGACAUUGGCAUUAUUUGCAAUGUCAAAUACUAUACCUACUUUAUAGGUAAUUGUUUUUAAAUAUUUAACUCCAUUGACACAUUAUUGUCUGAUCCCAAAUGAAAUGGCCAGUUUUUCUUUUUUCCCUACGGAUUUUUCUGAAUUAUUUUACUGGUUAAAAAUACAAUAUAUUUAUUGUUGCGUGUUUUCAAAGCAUUUGCAGAUAUAAUUACUGGAUUUAUAGGGAGUACAUUUUUCCUUCUCCCUUUCAAAAUCACUCGAAUCGUCACUUGGAGAAGGCGAUGACUCUUUUUUUCUCCCCCCAUAAUGAGGGACUCCCAAAACUAAUCUGAAAUCAAAAUUGGGUUUAAAAAGUAGUAAAAAACAAUUUAUCAGAAAAUUAUUUCUCUAAAUUCGCCCACUUAGUACACGCCCACAGAGUAAAUAUGUAUAAUGCAGAGUGAGUCUUUACAAGCAACGUCGUGAAGCCACUGAAACCCUUAAAAAAACGAACGUCACGAGUGUCCUUGACAUCCGCAUAUACAAACUUUUUUCAUAAUUUGUAUUUCAAAAUUUAACACUAACAAUAAUUACAUAAAUUAAUAUAAUAAUCAAUAAAAAUACUUAGUUUUGUGAACAGUAAUUUCUAAAUAUUUGAAAACAUAAGACGCCAUUUUUGUUGAAUAAUAUUAAAAGUUACUGAUGCGACGCUUCGUGUCGUACUGACUCGAGAAUGUAUUCGUUUUUGAAUUUUGUAUUUGGCGGGGCUAUGACACCGUUGUAUUCUGUGCGAUCUAUGGUCUCUAAUUAACUCUUCUUUUAAAUUUCCAUACUCACACGAGUCUGUUAAUAUGUACAACUGUCGUACAUACUCGUCCACUAUUUCAUUUUCGUGUUGGAUUCUCGUAUUCGUAGAUCGUGCCGCGAUGCCAGAACCAGCUCAUGACUAAGGGCCCCGUAUGGGUGCGAAACUAGUCGGGCAUACUCCGACCUAAUAUUAUCUGUUGUCAGUGCUGCGGUCAUCUAUCUGUGCUGAUGUGGAAGCCAUUAUCAGGAAUGACUUCGACGGUCCGCAUGACGACGGGUCGUACAAGUGGGCAUUACAGACAGAGGGCGGUAUAUACCACGAGCAGCGCGGCUCAGUGCAGGCAGCAGGGGGGGAGCCCAGCCUGCUGGUGGAGGGGCAGUACCAGUACACGGCGCCCGAUGGACAGAAAAUACCAUAAGAGAGUGAAGUCCCGGACUUGUGACCGAGGUAAUCAACCUGCUGUACACGGCGGACGCGGGGGGGUUCCACCCGACGGGCGCGCACCUCCCCACCCCACCUCCCGUCCCGCCGCAGAUACAGCGCGCGCUCGACUACAUCGCCAGACAGUCUCGACUCAAUGACGUAUAAAUUCUACACUUAACUAUGUAAUAAAAGUUGUUUUUUAUGCAAAA